ACAUCUCAGGUGGCCACCAUUCAA
rnacentral:misc_RNA from 1 species